AACGUAGGAGGCGAGCGUUAUCCGGAGUUACUGGGCGUAAAGAGCGUGUAGGCGGGUACGCAAGUUUGGGGUUAAAGCUCCCGGCUAAACUGGGAGAGUGCGCUGAAGACUGCGUGUCUAGAGGCGAGUAGAGGGACGUGGAAUUCCGGGUGUAGUGGUGAAAUGCGUAGAGAUCCGGAGGAACACCAGUGGCGAAGGCGACUUCCUGGCCUGUUCUUGACGCUGAGGCGCGAAAGCUAGGGUAGCAAACGGG
rnacentral:rRNA from 1 species